rnacentral:ncRNA from 1 species
CCAUGCCAGAUUCUGCGGCCGCCACGGUGGCCGCAGCCGUGCAUUUUAAUCUGGUCGCGCCCAUGGCCACAGGUCAUGCAAAGCCAGUACGGGAAACCGCGUCAAUAGGCGUAGGUCUUAUGGCAGCUUCCGCGCCGAUACAGAUAGGCAUUGACGCAGCGGCGUGUAGGCGCAACACACCC